rnacentral:rRNA from 1 species
CCUACGGGUGGCAGCAGUGAGGAAUAUUGGUCAAUGGACGAGAGUCUGAACCAGCCAAGUAGCGUGAAGGAUGACUGCCCUAUGGGUUGUAAACUUCUUUUAUAUGGGAAUAAAAUGUUCCACGUGUGGGAUUUUGUAUGUACCAUAUGAAUAAGGAUCGGCUAACUCCGUGCCAGCAGCGGCGGUAAUACGGAGGAUUCGAGCGUUAUCCGGAUUUAUUGGGUUUAAAGGGAGCGUAGGUGGUUGGUUAAGUCAGUGGUGAAAGUGUGAGGCUCAACCGUAAAAUUGCAGUUGAAAAUGCCCGUCUUGAGUGUAGAAGAGGUGGGCGGAAUUCGUGGUGUAGCGGUGAAAUGCUUAGAGAUCACGCAGAACUCCGAUUGCGAAGGCAGUUCAC